UCCGAAUUGGUGUAGUGGCUAACAUUUGACGCUCUCAACUUCCGUGUUAUCCAGCAUGGAAGGGUACCGUCAAGCCCGGGGUUCGAUUCCCCGAUUCGGAG